rnacentral:misc_RNA from 1 species
GAAAUGCGAUAAGUAAUGUGAAUUGCAGAAUUCAGUGAAUCAUCGAAUCUUUGAACGCACCUUGCGCUCCUUGGUAUUCCUUGGAGCAUGCCUGUUUGAGUAUCAUGAAAUCUUCAAUGUAAAUCUUUUGUUAACUCAAUUGGUUUCUACUUUGGUAUUGGAGGUCUUUGCAGCUUCACACCUGCUCCUCUUUGUUCAUUAGCUGGAUCUCAGUGUUAUGCUUGGUUCCACUCGGCGUGAUAAGUUAUCUAUCGCUGAGGACACUGUAAAAGGUGGCCAAGGUAAAUGCAGAUGAACCGCUUCUAAUAGUCCAUUGACUUGGACAAUACUUUUAUGAUCUGAUCUCAAAUCAGGUAGGACUACCCGCUGAACUUAAGC